rnacentral:rRNA from 1 species
AUGUCCACUCUUCAAGGUUGGCCAGACCUCCCGGAUGACCUGCUUCAUUCCAUUGUUCCUCGAUUGGGAUCCUUCCUUGACCUUCUUGCUUUUGCUGCCGCCUGCUCCUCUUGGCGUGCUGCCUUCUCCUCCUAUCCAUCCAAACACACACUCUUGCAAAUGUUGCCACCUCUCCUCCUCCAACCUGAUGUUCAUGAGUGCCCUCCUCGUCCUCGCCCAUUUAGCAACAGCCUCGUGCCUACACAUUCAUGCCAUGUCACUGAUUUAGCCAACCAAGGUACCUACAUGCGUUGUCAGAUUCCCCGGUUUUCUCCUUUUGGUGAGAGCAAAUCCCCACAAAGUCCUCUAGAUAGUUCUUAUUUUGGGGGUGUUUCCUAUGGUCAUCUCAUCUUGUUUAACCAAAAUCAAUCAUGUCUUGUUAUUGAUGUCUUUACUGGUGUUAGUUUCUCAACUCCGAAACUACCGGUCGAUGAAAACACUUUCCUGGACCAUGCUUCCCUCACGGCUCCUCUGACGUCACCCAACUCAUAUCUCAUGGUCACCAAAGGACGCCACUAUUUCUUUUGGCGUGUUGGUAGUAAAUCUUGGUUGAGACGUUCUCUUCACAAUGGAACGAUCGAGAAGGUCAUGGUUUUCAAAGGACAAAUAUUUGGCAUGGAUAAUGACUGCAGGCUCAUUAUCAUGAACUUGGUACCACGGAUCCGAAUACAGAAAAUAACAGUUGAUCCUGGUGAAAGCAUGCACAACAAAUGGCAUCUUCCCCACCCAUGGCUUGUUGCGUGCGGCGAUAUGCUUCUCCUGGUUGGUUGUCAUCGAUCUUUUCCAUCAACAGGGGAUACGUUUGAAGCUUUCCGCCUCGACCUAACGAGUGAACCUGCAAAGUGGAUGAAGGUGGAAAAGCUAGAAAAUUGGGCAAUCUUCAUCAGCACAGACGACAGAAGCCAGCCAUUGUGUUGCAUGAACCCAGAGAGAUGGGGAGGGAGGAGCAAUUCUAUAUACUUCUAUUUCCAUGAUUCUAAUAAUUGGAUCAAUUUUGAGCUGGACAAGCCACUGCAGGGAAAUGCCUCUACUCCAACAAUCUUUAUCUGCAGAGGCCGUGCCAGUAUGAUGCAACCUACAUGGGUUGUGCCUAGUAUGUUCUAUUCGUGA